rnacentral:lncRNA from 1 species
GAGGAGCAAGGCUUAUACCUUGCUGCAUCUCAACACAACCGAUGAUCCCAGCCUACUCGACAGUCUCACCACCGAGAUCCUCCAGCACGAUGAACUCCCCCUCAUUAUGAAAGCUCAAGAUAGGAGAAAUGGUGCCAUUCCCCCUCGAGAUCGUCUGAUGGAGACUCAACCCCAGAAUACUCUAAAUGCCACAGUGAUUCCCAUCGACUGGGCAACUAUGAUUAAAAUCUUCAAGAGCUUGAUCAAUGACUUGCUGAGUUGUAGGAGGAUAAUAGAGGUCAAGCAGAUGGCCUCAAAUUCAAUAUUCAUCCUUUAUUUUUCAAAAA